rnacentral:lncRNA from 1 species
CAACAACCAAGAGAAUGAACUAAAGAGAAAAAAGGAAGACAGAAGAAAACAACAAACAAAUAAUACAUUUAAAACAAAGGACAUCAAGGCCAACUGUAUAUGUUUGUGUGCAUGUCUGGCACUAUUACAUGUAUGUGUGUGUUCUUGUAUGUGUUUAUUUGAAUGAGAGUGUGUGUAUAUGUGUACAAACACCUGCACGGCCUCAGCCUCAGGAAAACUCUGCCACUUAGUGUCAUUCAAAUGUACUUUUUAUUAUGAUUUAUUUUUUAAACUUUAAAAAAAAAGUAUUUUUGACCAUGAUUCUCUCUGUCACUCAGCAACUCCACUCCCACUUGUCUCCAAUUCCACAUACCUUCCCUCAGCCCAUCCCAACUAUCUCUGCUAUGAAACUUUGUCAAUGAUGACACAAUCUUUCAAAGUGUGUGAUUGUACACGUAUUUUUAAAACGUUCACUCACUGCCUAUAGACCGUUACCAUAUGGUGUUCAAAUGUAUUAUGAACGUUUCACUGACCUGCAUUUCAGGUUUGUUCUUUGUGUGCAUGUAUGGAUAACAUUAUGGUGACAUAUAACGACCUUCUGCUGUUAUAGGUGACAAUUGAACUCCACAAGUGCUACUCUAGGAUCAUGUUCUCCCUGUCUAGGUAAUCUUAAUCAUUUCUGAUCAUAAAAGGCACAAAUGAUCCUACAUCAGCACUCCUACCCUCCUCUUCUCUGGAGAUCAGACUGUUGACAGUUCACAGAAGAUAUGGUUUAGUUUGAUAGAAUGAUUUGAGCGCGGGAUGCAUUAUUUGGGCCACUGCUUAGUGUUUACUGUGGAUGGAUGCCUUGUGUGUCUCACGUUUGUCUCACAGAGAAAAGUCUCAGAUGACAGACUUGACUUGCCAUUAACCCUUUCACUCUGUGAGGAGCAUAGGUCAACCACAAAUGAUCUCUGCUGGUAACCGAGCCACCACAGAUACAUGGGGACUAUUACACUGUCACACUUGGCAGGCCCUUGAUUUACUUUGUCUGAGUGGUAACAAAUAAAACACAUAAAAUGCAUUAUAAACUGGGUGGUUCGAGCCCUGAAUGCUGAUUGGCUGACAGCCGUGGUAUAUCAGACCACAGGUAUGACAAAACAUUUAUUUUUACUGCUCUAAUUAUGUCAGAGGUUUGUGGUAUAUGGCCAAUAUACCACGGCUAAGGGCUGUAUGCAGGCACUCCGCUUUGCCGUGGUAUGUUUUAUUUACUCUUUUUCACACCAGGCAUGGGGAUGAGGACCACUGAAGUGGGAAGAAAAGGAUGUCUGAGCCAUGAUUUUCUCUUCACAGUGAAAUGCUCUGUUCGGGAUGGGCAACCCCUUGCUCGACAUCUCAGCUGGACAACGACUUCCUCCACAAGUAUGGACUGAAGCCCAGCACCCAGAUACUGACCGAGGACAAGCACAAAGCCAUUAGGUCCUAUGAUUGAGUGUAGUCUGGCCCAGGAGUGUGAAGGUGAACGGAAAGGUUCUGGAGCAACGAACCGCCCUUGCUGUCUCUGCCUGGCCGGUUCCCCUCUCUCCACUGGGAUUCUCUGCCUCUAACCCUAUUACAGGGGCUGAGUCACUGGCUUACUGGUGCUCUUCCAUGCCGUCCCUAGGAGGGGUACGUCACUUGAGUGUGUUGAGUCACUGACGUGGUCUUCCUGUCUUGGGUUGUGCCGUGGCGGAGAUCUUUGUGGGCUAUACUCGGCCUUGUCUCAGGAUGGUAAGUUGGUGGUUGAAGAUAUCCCUCUAGUGGUGUGGGGGCUGUGCUUUGGCAAAGUGGGUGGGGUUAUAUCCUGCCUGUUUGGCCCUAUCCGGGGGUAUCUUCGGACGGGGCCACAGUAUCUCCUGACCCCUCCUGUCUCCUCCAGUAUUUAUGCUGCAGUAGUUUAUGUGUCGGGGGGCUAGGGUCAGUCUGUUAUAUCUGGAGUAUUUUUCCUGUCUUAUCCGGUGUCCUGUGUGAAUUUAAGUAUGCUUUCUCUACUUCUCUCUUUCUUUCUUUCUCUCGGAGGACCUGAGCCCUAGGACCAUGCCUCACGACUACCUGGCAUGAUGACUCCUUGCUGUCCCCAGUCCACCUGGCCGUGCUGCUGCUCCAGUUUCAACUGUUCUGCCUGCAGCUAUGGAACCCUGACCUGUUCACUGGAUGUGCUACCUGUCCCAGACCUGCUGUUUUCAACUCUCUAGAGACAGCAGGAGCGGUAGAGAUACUCGCAAUGAUCGGCUAUGAAAAGCCAACUGACAUUUACUCUUGGGGUGCUGACUUGUUGCACCCUCGACAACUACUGUGAUUACUAUUAUUUGACCCUGGUGGUCAUUUAUGAACAUUUGAACAUCUUGGCCAUGUUCUGUUAUAAUCUCCACCCGGCACAGCCAGAAGAGGAUUGGCCACCCCUCAUAGCCUGGUUCCUCUCUAGGUUUCUUCCUAGGUUUUGGUUUUGGCCUUUCUAGGUAGUUUUUCCUAGCCACCGUGCUUCUACACCUGCAUUGCUUGCUGUUUGGGGUUUUAGGCUUGCUUUCUGUACAGCACUUUUAGAUAUCAGCUGAUGUAAGAAGGGCUAUAUAAAUACAUUUGAUUUGAAGUCAGAUUCUACUUUAAAAAUGGGGCAGUGUAGUUUCAUCUUGGAUUUACUUUGUGGAAUCAUUUUUUUUAUUUGAUAGAAUUAAGAGAACAGUGUUUGGCCAGUGUUAGGCUAGUAGCCUAUUCAUGCACUUGUUUUAAUACCCUUUGAGUUUAAACAAAUGUUUUAAUGUAGUCGCAUGUAUACAGAAUCUGAUCAAUAUUUUGUUAUCUGUACAACAGUGCCACCGUGUGGCUGGAAAUGGAACCUAAUGGUCACAUGACACUGUAUAGUACAGGAUAAACAGAAUAUUUACCCUCUCUCUCCUGCAGGUGGCAAGAGCAGCGUUUUCUUUACCGGGAUUCAACAUGACAACAUUAGAAAACACAACUCAAAUCUGCAAAAGAGAAAAUGGCAUCUACUUUUCAUAGUUAUGAUAAAUAUACUUUUUAGAGUGGCAUUCAUUUGUAUUAUUAUGACUAAGGCAUAGGGACUGUAUUGUUGUCUAGGAAAUAUUCUCAGGCAUAUAUUAAACCAUAUGUCAUAUAAACAUCAAAUUACACUUUUAUUAGUCUGUUCGAGAUAACAUAAACCAUGUCAUUUAGCCUCUACACAGAGUAAUUCAACAGCCUCUUGUUAAAUAUUGUCAUAUUAACCCUGAAAUUAGGCAAUUAAAUUACCCUGUUAGAUGACUGAAUGAAGCCCUUUUCAUCAAUAAGGACCCCCAGAUAAAUAUUCAACAGCUUCCUGCGUGAACUGUACAUACAACCUGUUCACUAUUAGUUUAUCAUGACACCUGCGUCUGUCCAAUUCAAUGAUAAUAAAUAGUUUAGUUUCUCAUCUUGG